AGGAUGAACGCUGGCGGCGUGCCUAACACAUGCAAGUCGAACGUCCUGUCUCGCAAGAGGCAGGGAGUGGCGGACGGGUGAGUACCACGUGGGUCAUCUACCGUGAGGUGAGGAAUACCGGCGAGAAAUCGCCGACAAGACCGCAUAGGCUCGAUGCAAGUCGAGCAAAGCUCUUUCGAGAGAGGGAGCGCCACACGAGGAGCCUGCGCCCGAUUAGCUAGCUGGUGGAGUAACGGUUCACCAGGGCGACGAUCGGUAGCUGGUCUGAGAGGACGAUCAGCCACACUGGGAUUGAGAACGGCCCAGACUCCUACGGGGGGCAGCAGUGAGGAAUUUUUCGUCAAUGGGGGCAACCCUGAACGAGCAACGCCGCGUGCAGGAAGAAGGUUUUCGGAUCGUAAACUGCUUUUCUCGGGGAAGAGAACGGACGGUACCCGAGGAAUCAGCCCGGCUAACUACGCGCCAGCAGCCGCGGU
rnacentral:rRNA from 1 species